GGGGGCGAAUCUGACCCGGGCCGUCUCUUCCGCGCUGCAGGACUUCGCCUUGUGCCAGGCUUUCGUGCGCUUGAAAGGGCUGGCCGUGCUCGCCAUGGGUACCGGAGUGGCCUUUGCUGUCCUCAGGAAGCCUCUUCCUCUCCCCUGGAGCGGGCUCCUCUCUCUGGCUCUGGCUGCCUUACCCACCUACGCUGUUACCCGGAAUCAGCUGAAGAACUGUGCUGACCAGUGGGACUUCCAGACCCCUCCCCAAAGGUAGCCCGAAGGUUGGCUGCUCAACUCCUGCAAAGAGGAAGCGGGGGACGAAGGCCCGGAAACUGCAAAGGCCCUUCAAAGAUCAGUUAACCACGUACAUUUUCUGAAACGCAAACUCUUUGCCAAAUCAAAUGCAGAGGGGAUGGGCUAGAUGCCCUUCGGGACCCUUCAGAAGGAAACCCCCUUCUCGGAAGAACCCCACUGUGCCCUGCCCAGCCUUUAUCCUUUGCUCCCCAAUAUCCCUCGUUGAGCUGCGGAGGAUGGGUGGGUGGAGAGAACAGGAGGAGGAAGACAAAGAGAGGCAGGUGUGAAGCUGGCCUCCCUCAGCAACAGUGGUGGGUUUCAAAAAAAAAUUCGAACCUACUCUGUG